rnacentral:rRNA from 1 species
AGUGAACGCUGGCGGUAGGCCUAACACAUGCAAGUCGAACGGCAGCACAGUAAGAGCUUGCUCUUACGGGUGGCGAGUGGCGGACGGGUGAGGAAUACAUCGGAAUCUACUUUUUCGUGGGGGAUAACGUAUGGAAACUUACGCUAAUACCGCAUACGACCUACGGGUGAAAGCAGGGGAUCUUCGGCACUUGCGUGAUCGAAUGAGCCGAUGUCGGAUUAGCUAGUUGGCGGGGUAAAGGCCCACCAAGGCGACGAUCCGUAGCUGGUCUGAGAGGAUGAUCAGCCACACUGGAACUGAGACACGGUCCAGACUCCUACGGGAGGCAGCAGUGGGGAAUAUUGGACAAUGGGCGCAAGCCUGAUCCAGCCAUACCGCGUGGGUGAAGAAGGCCUUCGGGUUGUAAAGCACUUUUGUUGGGAAAGAAAAGCAGCAGGUUAAUACCCCGCUGUUCUGACGGUACCCAAAGAAUAAGCACCGGCUAACUUCGUG